ACGCUCGCUUCGACAGCACAGACACUAAAACUAGAGCUACGCAAAGGUUAGCGUGGCCCCUGCACAAGGAUGCCAUGCAAAUUCCUGAAGCGUUCCAUAUUUGG
rnacentral:snRNA from 1 species